CAGUCGCCACGGUAAUACGAGGGAUCCUAGCGUUGUUCGGAAUCAUUGGGCGUAAAGGGUGUGUAGGCGGCCUUGUAAGUCAGUUGUGAAAGCCCCGGGCUCAACCCGGGAAGUGCUUCUGAUACUGCUUGGCUUGAGUAUUGGAUAGGUGAGUGGAAUCCCAGGUGUAGUGGUGAAAUACGUAGAUAUCUGGAGGAACACCGGCGGCGAAGGCGGCUCACUGGCCAUAUACUGACGCUGAAACACGAAAGCGUGGGUAGCAAACAGGAUUAGAUACCCCUGUAGUCCCUGUCUCUUAUAU
rnacentral:rRNA from 1 species